GAGGAAAAGAAACUAACAAGGAUUCCCCUAGUAACUGCGAGUGAAGCGGGAAAAGCUCAAAUUUAAAAUCUGGUAGUCUUUGGCUGCCCGAGUUGUAAUCUAGAGAAGCGUUAUCCGCGCUGGACCGUGUAUAAGUCUCCUGGAAUGGAGCGUCAUAGAGGGUGAGAAUCCCGUCUUUGACACGGACUCCCAGGGCUUUGUGAUGCGCUCUCAAAGAGUCGAGUUGUUUGGGAAUGCAGCUCUAAAUGGGUGGUAAAUUCCAUCUAAAGCUAAAUAUUGGCGAGAGACCGAUAGCGAACAAGUACCGUGAGGGAAAGAUGAAAAGAACUUUGGAAAGAGAGUUAAACAGUACGUGAAAUUGUUGAAAGGGAAACGCUUGAAGUCAGUCGCGUUGGCCAGGGAUCAACCUUGCUUUUGCUUGGUGUACUUCCUGGUCAAUGGGGUCAGCAUCAAUUUUGACCAGUGGAAAAAGGUUGGGGGAAUGUGGCAUCUUCGGAUGUGUUAUAGCCUCUGAUUGUAUACACUGGUUGGGAUUGAGGAACUCAGCACGCCGCAAGGCCGGGUUUUACCACGUUCGUGCUUAGGAUGCUGGCAUAAUGGCUUUAAUCGACCCGUCUUGAA
rnacentral:rRNA from 1 species